GAUGAACGCUAGCGGCAGGCCUAACACAUGCAAGUCGAGGGGUAUAGUUCUUCGGAACUAGAGACCGGCGCACGGGUGCGUAACGCGUAUGCAAUCUACCUUUUACAGGGGAAUAGCCCAGAGAAAUUUGGAUUAAUGCCCCAUAGUGUUAUAGAAUCGCAUGGUUUUUAUAACUAAAGUUCCAACGGUAAAAGAUGGGCAUGCGUCCCAUUAGUUAGUUGGUAAGGUAACGGCUUACCAAGACAAUGAUGGGUAGGGGUCCUGAGAGGGAGAUCCCCCACACUGGUACUGAGACACGGACCAGACUCCUACGGGGAGGCAGCAGUGAGGAAUAUUGGACAAUGGGCGCAAGCCUGAUCCAGCCAUGCCGCGUGCAGGAAGACGGUCCUAUGGAUUGUAAACUGCUUUUUGUACAGGAAGAAACACUCCCUCGUGAGGGAGCUUGACGGUACUGUAAGAAUAAGGAUCGGCUAACUCCGUGCCAGCAGCCGCGUAAUGUAUCGUA
rnacentral:rRNA from 1 species